rnacentral:rRNA from 1 species
UACGAAGGGGGCUAGCGUUGUUCGGAAUUACUGGGCGUAAAGCGUGCGCAGGCGGUCUUCCAAGUCAGUGGUGAAAGCCCGGAGCUCAACUCCGGAACUGUCAUUGAAACUGUGAGACUCGAGUACGAGAGAGGUGAGUGGAAUUCCCAGUGUAGAGGUGAAAUUCGUAGAUAUUGGGAAGAACACCGGUGGCGAAGGCGGCUCACUGGCUCGUAACUGACGCUCAGGCACGACAGCGUGGGGAUCAACAGG